CGUAGGUGGCAAGCGUUGUCCGGAAUUAUUGGGCGUAAAGCGCGCGCAGGCGGUUCCUUAAGUCUGAUGUGAAAGCCCCCGGCUCAACCGGGGAAGGUCAUUGGAAACUGGGGAACUUGAGUGCAGAAGAGAAGAGCGGAAUUCCACGCGUAGCGGUGAAAUGCGUAGAGAUGUGGAGGAACACCAGUGGCGAAGGCGGCUCUUUGGUCUGUAACUGACGCUGAGGCGCGAAAGCGUGGGGAGCAAACAGGAUUAGAUACCCUGGUAGUCCACGCCGUAAACGAUGAGUGCUAAGUGUUAGAGGGUUUCCGCCCUUUAGUGCUGCAGCUAACGCAUUAAGCACUCCGCCUGGGGAGUACGGCCGCAAGGCUG
rnacentral:rRNA from 1 species